GAUGAACGCUGGCGGCGUGCCUAAUACAUGCAAGUAGAACGCUGAAGGAGGAGCUUGCUCUUCUGGAUGAGUUGCGAACGGGUGAGUAACGCGUAGGUAACCUGCCUGGUAGCGGGGGAUAACUAUUGGAAACGAUAGCUAAUACCGCAUGACAACAGUUAUUGCAUUAUAACUGUUUAAAAGUGGCAACUGCUCCACUACCAGAUGGACCUGCGUUGUAUUAGCUAGUUGGUGAGGUAACGGCUCACCAAGGCGACGAUACAUAGCCGACCUGAGAGGGUGAUCGGCCACACUGGGACUGAGACACGGCCCAGACUCCUACGGGAGGCAGCAGUAGGGAAUCUUCGGCAAUGGACGGAAGUCUGACCGAGCAACGCCGCGUGAGUGAAGAAGGUUUUCGGAUCGUAAAGCUCUGUUGUAAGAGAAGAACGAGUGUGAGAGUGGAAAGUUCACACUGUGACGGUAGCUUACCAGAAAGGGACGGCUAACUACGUG
rnacentral:rRNA from 1 species